UGUUAUGGAUGGGAUUUGUGGUCUGUGUUGUGGUAAAAUUGGUUUUGAUUUGUAAGUCAGAAACGGCAGGAAGGCGGGUAAAAGGUGGGAUUUGAUCAUGUUAACUUUAAAUAGAGAUUGAAGGAUUUUAAUUAAUUAGUAACACUGAGGAUACGAGGAUGAAGUGGGCAGGGCAUGUAGCACGAAUGGGGGAGAAAGCCAGAAGGUAAGAGACCCCUGCGAAGACCAAGGCGUAGGUGGGUGAGCAAAACACUUUUCUGUAUUGGCCUGUGACUCGCCAGCACGAGACCUCAUGUGACUCAUCUGCCAUAAGAGCAAGGAGCUGUUGCUCUACAGUCACAACAAGCAAGUUACAGUGUUUCUCUGACAUCCAUUUUGCUGUCCUAUCAUCCAUGCAUGGAUCCAUCCUCGCCACCAAGACCCGCUAUAUGGAUCGCAUCAUUAGGGAGGCAAUUGAGAUUGAACUGCAUCCAG